UACGUAGGUGGCAAGCGUUGUCCGGAAUUAUUGGGCGUAAAGCGCGCGCAGGUGGUUUCUUAAGUCUGAUGUGAAAGCCCACGGCUCAACCGUGGAGGGUCAUUGGAAACUGGGGAACUUGAGUGCAGGAGAGAAGAGUGGAAUUCCACGUGUAGCGGUGAAAUGCGUAGAGAUGUGGAGGAACACCAGUGGCGAAGGCGACUCUUUGGCCUGUAACUGACACUGAGGCGCGAAAGCGUGGGGAGCAAACGGG
rnacentral:rRNA from 1 species